UUUUGAUGGUGCUAAGAACAGAAUGUAUAUGUUUUUUCUUUACUUUAAUAAUAUUUUCUUGUGGUUUUUAUGGAAAGUUUUCUUCACGUUCUGAGAAUGGAUGGGUGCUCGAUCUCCAUUUCGACUCAGCCAAUGGAUGCCCUCCAUCUAUAUCCUCAGCCAACGGAUGCCCUCCAUCUAUCCUCAUUGCUUUCACAUACCCAGUCCUAGCCACACAUGCCUCUUUACAACACAGCCAACACAGCCUGCAAAUCAGCUCCUGACAGAUACAAGGAGGAAUAUGAAAGAGGAGCGGGCCAUGCUUAUUAUCGAUGAUUUCUCCACCACUCAGGGGCUGGCAUUGAUCGCUGCACGUGAACUGUCGGGCACACAGUUGACGGUGGAUGUUUGUGUCAGGGUGUACUGGCGGGCCUCUCUGCUCUGACAGGAUGCCUCUUAUCACUGACAUAUGGAUAAAUGUCUCUCCUCUCCUCAAGACGCUUCCUGACUCCUCUCAGGCCGUCUCCCCCUGUCUCUUUCCAUCUCUCACACCCACCCAUCCCUCGCUUCUUAAAGAGCAACAAAAUGUCACAUAUCCAAAUCCAUAAACAGUGAUGUAUGAGCCCACUAACAGUGUGUGUGUGUGUGUGUGUGUGUGUGUGUGUGUGUGUGUGUGUGUGUGUGUGCACUAUGUUGGCAAAUGGGAUUCAGAGCCUAAGGCAUGUGAUCAAGACAGAAAUUUACUAGUUGAAUAGUAGGGAACACUGGGGAACACUCAUUAAAACCACACAUCUCUGUCCUCCCUCCUGUGAGAAAGACAAACAUUGAUGAUACUGGAGGAGUAGGUAUAACAGUAGCCUAAGUACUGCCCUUCCUGCAGUCAGCAUGUCUAUUAAAAGACUGAUUAAAGUUCCAGCCUAUACUGUCUGGUCGUAUACUGUAGUAUGUACUCAUCAGUGGUGUCAGCACUAUACAUCUCUAUUCUGAAAUGUCACAGGUAGGGCUUCCAUCAUAUACACUAUGUCUGUGCCUGAGCAACCUUCCCUCCCCUCCCUCUCCACCCUCAACCCCAACCCAGGAGUCAGCCUGUCCACAGACACCCCCAUCACACAUCUUAAUGACAUGAAAGAUUCAUGGCCCGAGUAAAAUAGCCCAUUAUCUAACUGACAAUAAACUAAUUUUGGAACCCGGACACUCUGUCAUGAAACAACGAUAAUACUCUGGACGCUUACCAGAAUUGCGAGCCCCAGGUACUGCGUCCCUCCAAUCUGUCAGAGGAGAAUUAUGAAUAUUUGAGGA